AUGCGAGUAAAUCGUCUAUUAAAGAGACGGGGAUUCUCAGAUCCAGAUCACACCAUCCUCCCACAGCGAGUAUCCAUCGGAGCGCGCUCGGAAAAAAUCCAUUCCAACAUGGCCGGCCAUCGCAGCUCCUCCUCUCGCUCCCGUAGCCCUAAGCUCGGUAAUUGGAAGAAGUGUUCUGUCCCCCACAGCCAAUUAGUAGAGUUACAUACCCAGGGAUUUCUCCCUCCAGCGUAUAUGGUCCCCGUUCGAGCCGGGCUCGCCACCUACAAUGGCGGGGAGCAAGCAGAGAGCUUUCCCAACCCAUCCAUGGGGGAGCGGGUGUGCCUUGUCCCUUACUUAUUAAGAGGGCUUGGAUUCCCAAUUCAUCCGUUCCUCCGCGGGCUCCUGGAGUUCUACGGCCUCCAGCUGCAUAAUUUCACUCCCGCCUCCAUAUUACACAUCGCUGGCUAUGUCGCCCUUUGCGAGCUGUUUCUGGGCUGCGAAGCUCAUUUCGAGCUAUGGAAGAGGCUAUUCUGCCUCGUACCCCGUACACAGGAGGGGUCAAUAUACCAAGUGGGCGGAGCCGAAAUAUGGCGCAUCGCCGGGACCGGAUACCUGUCCGGUACUCCGAAGAAGACAUCCGAGGACUGGCCUUCGGAGUGGUUUUAUAUGGAGGACGUCCCCCUUCCGGACCCUAUUCGUAUGGGCCUUCCUGAGUUCGACAACGCUCCCUUGAAGAAACGCCGCAUCUGGCGCCCUCGGAGCCCUCAGGAGGAAGAUAACGGGGAAGUCCUUUACCUGAUGAGUCGGAUACAUACGUUGGCCCAGUCAGGAUUGACAGUAAUUGAGGUUAUGUCAAUAUGUAUAAUGCGAGGGGUACAGCCACUUCAAUAUCGGGGGCAACCCAUGUGGCAUUUCAACGGAGAAGACGAUGCCACCCGCUGUGGUCAUAAGUAUUUACCUUGCUGUUUCAUAGCAGGAACUACGAAAAGCUGUAAGGGAGGUCCACAGCCCGCCUCCACAACCGGAGGACCCUGA
rnacentral:rRNA from 1 species